UACGUAGGGUGCGAGCGUUGUCCGGAAUUAUUGGGCGUAAAGAGCUCGUAGGCGGUUUGUCGCGUCUGCUGUGAAAACCUAAGGCUCAACCUUGGGCUUGCAGUGGGUACGGGCAGACUAGAGUGCGGUAGGGGGUGACUGGAAUUCCUGGUGUAACGGUGGAAUGCGCAGAUAUCAGGAGGAACACCGAUGGGCGAAGGCAGGUCACUGGGCCGCAACUGACGCUGAGGAGCGAAAGCAUGGGGAGCGAACAGG
rnacentral:rRNA from 1 species